CACGCCCAUUCAGUAAUGGGCCGGGGGACAUGGGAGGCCCUUCUUCCCAAGAAACUUCAAUUCCUUUCCUCUCUUGCCUCUCCCACCCAAUUCCCUUUGGUUUGUCAUAUUUAAAUGUUUUAAUUGAUUUCUGUAUUUUUUUUUCCUUUGAGAGAAUAAUUAUUGUUUUCUGACGUCAGGGGGUGGCCGUGGAAAAGCCCCCUUUUCCCUCAUCUGCAGGGGACUAUUGUGGCCUGGGUGGGGCAGUGAUCCUCCUUCCAUGUGUAUGGGUGGGCCCAGGAAAAUCUGUGCUGGGGUGGCGGGCAGGCAAAGGGAUUACUGCCUGCCAGAUCUUCAAACUUUUUUAACAUAUAUAUAUUUAAA